rnacentral:rRNA from 1 species
GUCUACAGCCAUGCUACCCUGAACAUGUCCGAUCCCGUCUGAUCUCAGAAGCUAAGCAGGAUUAGGCCUGGUUAGUACUUGGAUGGGAGACCACCUAGGAAUACCAGGUGCUGUGGGCA